AGAAUCAACGCUGGCGGCGUGCCUAACACAUGCAAGUCGCACGAGAAAGUGGAGCAAUCCAUGAGUAAAGUGGCGCACGGGUGAGUAACACGUGAAUAAUCUACCUCCGAGUGGGGAAUAACUGAGAGAAAUCUUAGCUAAUACCGCAUAAUACCCACGGGUCAAAGCAGCAAUGCGCUUGGAGAGGAGUUCGCGGCCGAUUAGUUAGUUGGCGGGUAAUGGCCCACCAAGACGAUGAUCGGUA
rnacentral:rRNA from 1 species